UACGGGGGGAGCAAGCGUUGUUCGGAUUUACUGGCGUAAAGGGCGCGUAGGCGGUCAGCACAAGUCAGUUGUGAAAUCUCCGGGCUUAACUCGGAAAGGUCAACUGAUACUGUGCGACUAGAGUGCAGAAGGGGCAACUGGAAUUCUCGGUGUAGCGGUGAAAUGCGUAGAUAUCGAGAGGAACACCUGCGGCGAAGGCGGGUUGCUGGGCUGACACUGACGCUGAUGCGCGAAAGCCAGGGGAGCGAACGGG
rnacentral:rRNA from 1 species